rnacentral:rRNA from 1 species
CAGCGCCACGGGAAUACGGAGGGAGCUAGCGUUGUUCGGAAUCACUGGGCAUAAAGCGCACGUAGGCGGCUAUUCAAGUCAGGGGUGAAAGCCCGGGGCUCAACCCCGGAACUGCCUUUGAAACUAGAUAGCUUGAAUCUUGGAGAGGCGAGUGGAAUUCCGAGUAUAGAGGUGAAAUUCGUAGAUAUUCGGAAGAACACCAGUGGCGAAGGCGACUCGCUGGACAAGUAUUGACGCUGAGGUGCGAAAGCGUGGGGAGCAAACAGGAUUAGAUACCCGGGUAGUCCCUGUCUCUUAUACA